CAUUGCCAACCUCCUCGCAUUCGCCAUCGCGUCGCCAGUGGUCACGGUGACCGUUUCAUCGAUGACCGAGGUGUCCAAGACCUCAGGCAAUAGUCCUGGUCCUAUUCCCUGGAUUUCAUGCUUGCCUGGCUCCCCACCUGAAUAAAGUCCAACGGAAGUGUCAUUGUUUCUGAAGCACUAUUUUGUUGUUGUUCCAGUGAUUUUAGUUAGAGUACUCGCACACAAUCUGAAGCAAAUGUGGAGCCAAUUAUCUGGACCACAGAUUUGAAUCAAGGAGAUUCUACGAAGCAAGAUUUUUUGUUUGUACUUAUCUGCUACUCCCUCCGAUCCUAAACUGUUGUCGAAAUAUUACAUGUAUCUAGACGCUUUUAAAAAAUAGAUAUAUCCAUAUUUGGACAAAUUUGAGUCAAGAAUUUAGUAUCAGAAGGAGUAGCUAACAAAUGAAUGCAAUCCUUUUCCGAUGAAAGGGAAACAUUUUCUAAAAAAAUAUGGCUAGUGAAACUAAUCAGCUGACAAGCAACCGACCACCGUGGUGGGAAAAGUAGUGAUCCAUUUUAUAGAAAAUAUUAGAUGCCAAAUCAUUUUGCACAUUCCCUACAAAAAUAUUCCAAAAGGUAUCAUUUCACACAAUAAUCUGUUAAUAUAAUUUCAUGGAGCAUAGAAGCACUGAAAUUACUUAGCUGGCCCUAUACAGCGAUUGCUAAUUGCAAGGGCCAUGGAGUAAUGUAUUUACAAGAAAGGGAAAAAAGGAAAAGGCCAGGUCUCCAAAACAACAGCACCGGAGACAGGGACUACCUCUCUCGUGCUUAAAUUUAACGACGUCUGAUUUUCGUGCUUGAGUUUAAGAGAUGACAAUUUACCUGAAAUGACUGCACUCUCUGUAGGCUCUACACAAAUGAUCCUCACAUUUGGAUUUUGCAUCUUCAGAUACUUCCCAACACCAGAUACCGUACCUCCUGACCCUGAACCUGCGACAAAUAUGUCCACCUUGCCAGCAGUAUCCUUCCAAAUCUCAGGUCCUGAAAUUUUCAAUAAUAGGUCAAUAAGGAUGCACUCUUCUCUUCUGAACAUAAAGUGUCAACUCACUUUGAGACAGUACCAGUCCAUCUAACGUGUGCGUCAGGAUUUGCUGGAUUCACAAACUGAUAAAGAACAUGAACGUUGGGUAAUUCCUUCUUGAGUUGUUCGACCUUGUCGACCAUUCCCGGAUAGCCGAGUGCUGGAUCUGCCAUUUGAUCACACCAAAAAAUCAAGAUCACAAAUACAGAUCACACAGAUUGGCCAGUGUAAACUAUUCAAAAAAAAAAAGACCGGCCAGUGUAAACAACACUGUGCAAGGAAAACUAGACUUAAAAGAGAGGAUGUAAGAUUUUAUUGUUCUUCAGACAAAGGAAGCAACUAAAGGAAAACUAUCUAUCUUUACCGGUUAUGAACAACUGCAUAUCUUCUGCCAUUACCCGUUAUGAACAACUCAGCACCCAUGUAUCUCAACAAGAUCUGCUUAUCAAGCGAGUACUGGCCCGGCAUCACCGCGACGAACCUGUAUUCUUUGCGCAGAGCAAUGAGGACCAACCCUAGCCCCAGAUUACCGCCCGUCGGCUCAACUAGAGUCGUUACACCAGGCGAAAUCAGCCCUUUCUCUUCGGCGUCUUCGAUCAUCCUGUAGAAGGAAAAUAAAGUUUAACACUUGCCAUAAGUUUUGGCUUGCCAUAGGAAAUGGAUUCUGCCAGGUGCAAGAAUAUAUAGUAGUACUUGACUGCCAUCUUAAAUUUAUGCUACCACCAUCAGUGACUAGCUGAUCGACUAGCACAGACAAAACUAGCACUUGUUCAACCAUCAUCAGUUCCAACAAACAACAGAGCUGGUGGCUUGGUCAGCUAUAGAAUCUACUUCACCUUUUCAACUAGCACAGACAAGACUAGCUCUCUAAUCUAACCCCAAGUUCUGUUAGCAGAAUCGAGCCUGAUUAAAAACAAGUUUUCCGAGAGAUUAACUAAAACAAGUUAAUAGCAGUACUACCUCAAAGCGCUGCGAUCCUUGACGGAGCAAAGCGGCUGGUAGGCCUCCAUCUUCCCGACAAUCCGGGCAUCCAAGCCGUCCUUUCCAGCGAUCCGCUUCAGCUCGAUGAGCGGCGUCCACCCUAUCAGCUGAAAAAAUAUAUAUCAGCCACCUGUAACCAGGCCUUCAAAUCAUGGCUGACAGACAGGAAAGGGGAUUGAAACGUAUAAAAGGGGUAUUUUUAUUUUGCCUGGGUGGCGUCGGAGGCGAUGUGUUCCUGCCCGAUUGCGCCGUCGCUGAGCAGGGAAGGAAGCCCUCUCCUCGCAGUCCCCUCCUUGCCUGGCGGCGGCGCCAGGAUGCCGCUGCAGUGCUGCUUGGUCGACGGGCGCUUCCCUGCUUCUUGGCUUCUCAAGGGGUGAGGAUAAGGAGACAGGGGCAGCUGCGCAGCGACGACCGACGACUGUGCCCUGCAAAUUGGGACUUGUUUCCCCCUUGAGGUCGUUGCAUUGCAGCAGGCCAUGGCUGUCAAUUUAAGGAUCUUUUUGCCGCCGUCGGUUUCCCCCUUGAGGUCGUUGCAGGCUUUUGCUGCUGCGCUCCUCCGUGACGAGACGUGUUCAUCAUUUUCUAAGAUCAAUGAUAAUAUCAUGAGUAGCUGGUAAUCUAUAACCAGUUUAAUAUCCAACAUAAUAAAAUAGUUACUUAUAAACAUGUACUAGUACUUUGUACUUUGUAAAUGUUUGGUCUCACAUUCCAAUCUCAUAGAGUUUUCAUGAGCUCAUGCCGCAGCUGACUAUUAACUUAUACUCGCACAUAUAAUUUACAAAGUGAGUAGUUUGGUCUCGCAAGGUUUGUUCGUCGACACGGCGAGGUGGGUCAGGUAUAUCCUUAUGUGGUUGCUCUUCCUUGUCGUCUUGAGAUCAACAACUCCUUCUCUCGAGUGAGCGUCUCUAUCUGUCGACGGUGUGGUGUCCUCGAACCAGGACAAGGGGGUAGACGCUCUGUCUCCUUGUUGAUGAAAGAUGGCAUCAAUGUCUUCAAUCGUCGUGUUUUUAGUUUUUGAGCUUUUUUAUAGUACCCCGAAAUCGGCUUAGAAUGUCAAUUUUCUUUGAUCUAAGAGCUCAGAUUAGUUGGUACUCCUUGAUACUUCGAUUUAGAUGUGUGGAUUAUCAUCGAAGCACAAGACACAUUUCUCUCCUUCUCUCUGCCGAUCCCAAAAGUAACACGUUAGUUCUUAUUUGUUGCCGAUGUGGCAUUUUAAUUUCUUCGAAAAGGAGGGCAAUCCGCUGGUCUCUGUAUCGAUCGAUGAACACAUCCAUCAUUCAACAUACAUGUCUAAAAAAUACAAUAAAAGUAAGACAAGCAGGACACAAUCACGUGUCCUCCGGUCUAAGAUAUGCGUGUCGCCCAAACCGGCUGAACAACUUUCGUGCUACCUUCUCUAGUUGGUUACACCGAGAUUCCAAGCAAGAUCAAUAGGUCAUGGCAAGGCACUCCUCUCUUACAGCGGCAAAGAGGUCCGAAUUCAUGUAUCUCUCGCCCCCGCUCGGGAACAUGGUGACAAUCAUCUUCCCCUUGUUCUCUUCUCUCGCCGCAACCUAAAGAUGCAUUUGGUUGGUUCCAAGGGUUAGUCAAGACCAGAGAGAGAAAUGUAACAUAACUCAAAUAAAGUUACUAUAUUGCCCUUUGCUUACUAUCAUUCAAAUGCAAAAUUAUCUUCUUGUCGAACCAGGUUUCCACAUUUUCCAUUACCAUAACGGAAACAACAAGUACAGCAAAAUGAGAACAAAGUCAAUUAGCUAGGGGAUGUGUGGACCUUUAGGCAAGCUGCGAAGUUUGCCCCAGAAGAUAUGCCCACAAGCAGGCCCUCUUCCAUUGCCAACCUCCUCGCGUUCGCCAUCGCCUCAUCUGUGGUCACGGUGACCGUCUCAUCGAUGACCGAGGUGUUCAAGACCUCAGGCAAGAACCCUGGUCCUAUUCCCUGGAUUUUAUGCUUGCCUGACUCCCCUCCUGAAUAAAUGCCAACAAAGUGUCAUUGUUUCAGUUUACAAAAGAAAAGUGUCAUUGUUUCCGAAGCAGUACUAUUUUGUUGUUGCUCUAGUGAUUUUAGUAUCUGGCACCACACAAUCUGAAGCAAAUGCGGAGCCACAUAGUUAUCUGGAGGCUGGACCACAAAAUUUCAAUCAUGAAGAUUUGACGAAGCACGAUUUGUUGGUACUUAUGUGCUACGUAACAAAUGAAUGCAAUCCUUUUCAGAUGAAAGCGAAACAUUUUUCUAUAAAAACAUGACCAAAGAAACUAAUCGGCUGACAAGCAAACGACAAGCAGAGUUACAACUCUGUGGUGGAAAAAAAGUACUCCAUUUUGCAUAUUCUCUACAAA
rnacentral:lncRNA from 1 species